rnacentral:rRNA from 1 species
UACGAAGGGGGCUAGCGCUGCUCGGAAUCACUGGGCGUAAAGCGCACGUAGGCGGCUUUUUAAGUCAGGGGUGAAAUCCUGGAGCUCAACUCCAGAACUGCCUUUGAUACUGAGAAGCUUGAGUCCGGGAGAGGUGAGUGGAACUGCGAGUGUAGAGGUGAAAUUCGUAGAUAUUCGCAAGAACACCAGUGGCGAAGGCGGCUCACUGGCCCGGUACUGACGCUGAGGUGCGAAAGCGUGGGGAGCAAACAGG